GACGAACGCUGGCGGCGUGCUUAACACAUGCAAGUCGAACGCUGAAGCUCAGCUUUUGUUGGGUGGAUGAGUGGCGAACGGGUGAGUAACACGUGAGUAACCUGCCCUCUUCUUUGGGAUAACGCCCGGAAACGGGUGCUAAUACUGGAUAUUCACUUGCCUUCGCAUGGGGGUUGGUGGAAAGGUUUGUUCUGGUGGGGGAUGGGCUCGCGGCCUAUCAGCUUGUUGGUGGGGUGAUGGCCUACCAAGGCUUUGACGGGUAGCCGGCCUGAGAGGGUGACCGGUCACAUUGGGACUGAGAUACGGCCCAGACUCCUACGGGAGGCAGCAGUGGGGAAUAUUGCACAAUGGGCGCAAGCCUGAUGCAGCGACGCCGCGUGAGGGAUGGAGGCCUUCGGGUUGUAAACCUCUUUCGCUCAUGGUCAAGCCGCGACGUGGGUUGUGGUGAGGGUAGUGGGUAAAGAAGCGCCGGCUAACUACGUGCCAGCAGCCGCGGUAAUACGUAGGGCGCGAGCGUUGUCCGGAAUUAUUGGGCGUAAAGGGCUUGUAGGCGGUUGGUCGCGUCUGCCGUGAAAUUCUCUGGCUUAACUGGGGGCGUGCGGUGGGUACGGGCUGACUUGAGUGCGGUAGGGGAGACUGGAACUCCUGGUGUAGCGGUGGAAUGCGCAGAUAUCAGGAAGAACACCGGUGGCGAAGGCGGGUCUCUGGGCCGUUACUGACGCUGAGGAGCGAAAGCGUGGGGGAGCGAACAGG
rnacentral:rRNA from 1 species